CUAAUGGUUAGUGGUUAUAAUUCUGGUACGUCCGUUUUUCUUUUUUUACAUGUAAAACAAAGUAUCAAAAAAGGAAGAAAUUCUUUUGAUACAGAUGACCAAUGUUAUAUAUUAUGAGUAAAACUCAUAUUUAGUGGUUCGAUUUAUAAGAUAUCUAUAUGAAUAACAGAUGACAAGUAUACCAUGUGACAGCAACCAAACAACCAAAAAUAAAAGACACUGAGAGCUCAACAUUAGGCCUAUAAUGAAUGCUCUAGUGUCUUAACCAUGUGUUAAGCUUGACAUUACUUCAUAAUCUGCCAUUCACAAUGACCCACAAAGGACAGUUAUAAAAGUUCACUAUAAAGACAACCAAUUGUAAAGGCUGAAGAAUAAAAACAACC
rnacentral:lncRNA from 1 species